GCCCAAGUGGCGGAAUGGCAGACGCGCUAGGUUCAGGUCCUAGUGAGGUAACACUCGUGGAGGUUCGACUCCUCUCUUGGGCA
rnacentral:tRNA from 1 species